rnacentral:rRNA from 1 species
UACGGAGGGGGCUAGCGUUGUUCGGAAUUACUGGGCGUAAAGCGCGCGUAGGCGGACCUGCAAGUCGGGGGUGAAAGCCCGAGGCUCAACCUCGGAACUGCCUUCGAUACUGCGGGUCUCGAGUCCGGGAGAGGUGAGUGGGAAUUCCUAGUGUAGAGGUGAAAUUCGUAGAUAUUAGGAAGAACACCAGUGGCGAAGGCGGCUCACUGGCCCGGUACUGACGCUGAGGCGCGAAAGCGUGGGGAGCAAACAGGGAUUAAGAAAC